rnacentral:rRNA from 1 species
GGGGAUAACACUUAGAAAUAGGUGCUAAUACCGCAUAAGCGCACGGAGCUGCAUGGCUCAGUGUGAAAAACUCCGGUGGUAUAUGAUGGACCCGCGUCUGAUUAGCUUGUUGGCGGGGUAACGGCCCACCAAGGCGACGAUCAGUAGCCGGCCUGAGAGGGUGGACGGCCACAUUGGGACUGAGACACGGCCCAAACUCCUACGGGAGGCAGCAGUGGGGAAUAUUGGACAAUGGGGGGAACCCUGAUCCAGCGACGCCGCGUGAGUGAAGAAGUAUCUCGGUAUGUAAAGCUCUAUCAGCAGGGAAGAAAGAAAUGACGGUGCCUGACCAAGAAGCCCCGGCUAACUACGUGCCAGCAGCCGCGGUAAUACGUAGGGGGCAAGCGUUAUCCGGAUUUACUGGGUGUAAAGGGAGCGUAGACGGUAAUGCAAGUCUGGAGUGAAAUGCAGGGGCUCAACCCCUGAACUGCUUUGGAAACUGUAUGACUGGAGUGCAGGAGAGGUAAGUGGAAUUCCUAGUGUAGCGGUGAAAUGCGUAGAUAUUAGGAGGAACACCAGUGGCGAAGGCGGCUUACUGGACUGUAACUGACGUUGAGGCUCGAAAGCGUGGGGAGCAAACAGGAUUAGAUACCCUGGUAGUCCACGCCGUAAACGAUGAU